rnacentral:rRNA from 1 species
AAAAAGAACCUGAAACCGUGUACGUACAAGCAGUGGGAGCACCUUCGGGUGUGACUGCGUACCUUUUGUAUAAUGGGUCAGCGACUUAUAUUCUGUAGCAAGGUUAACCGUAUAGGGGAGCCGCAGGGAAACCGAGUCUUAACUGGGCGUUAAGUUGCAGGGUAUAGACCCGAAACCCGGUGAUCUAGCCAUGGGCAGGUUGAAGGUUGGGUAACACUAACUGGAGGACCGAACCGACUAAUGUUGAAAAAUUAGCGGAUGACUUGUGGCUGGGGGUGAAAGGCCAAUCAAACCGGGAGAUAGCUGGUUCUCCCCGAAAGCUAUUUAGGUAGCGCCUCGUGAACUCAUCUUCGGGGGUAGAGCACUGUUUCGGCUAGGGGGUCAUCCCGACUUACCAACCCGAUGCAAACUACGAAUACCGAAGAAUGUUAUCACGGGAGACACACGGCGGGUGCUAACGUCCGUCGUGAAGAGGGAAACAACCCAGACCGCCAGCUAAGGUCCCAAAGUCAUGGUUAAGUGGGAAACGAUGUGGGAAGGCACAGACAGCCAGGAUGUUGGCUUAGAAGCAGCCAUCAUUUAAAGAAAGCGUAAUAGCUCACUGGUCGAGUCGGCCUGCGCGGAAGAUGUAACGGGGCUAAACCAUGCACCGAAGCUGCGGCAGCGACACUAUGUGUUGUUGGGUAGGGGAGCGUUCUGUAAGCCUGCGAAGGUGACCUGUGAGGGUUGCUGGAGGUAUCAGAAGUGCGAAUGCUGACAUAAGUAACGAUAAAGCGGGUGAAAAGCCCGCUCGCCGGAAGACCAAAGGGUUCCUGUCCAACGUUAAUCGGGGCAGGGUGAGUCGACCCCUAAGGCGAGGCCGAAAGGCGUAGUCGAUGGGAAACAGGUUAAUAUUCCUGUACU